GAUGAACGCUGGCGGCGUGCCUAAUACAUGCAAGUCGAGCGAACGGACGAGAAGCUUGCUUCUCUGAUGUUAGCGGCGGACGGGUGAGUAACACGUGGAUAACAUACCUAUAAGACUGGGAUAACUUCGGGAAACCGGAGCUAAUACCGGAUAAUAUUUUGAACCGCAUGGUUCAAAAGUGAAGGACGGUCUUGCUGUCACUUAUAGAUGGAUCCGCGCUGCAUUAGCUAGUUGGUAAGGUAACGGCUUACCAAGGCAACGAUGCAUAGCCGACCUGAGAGGGUGAUCGGCCACACUGGAACUGAGACACGGUCCAGACUCCUACGGGAGGCAGCAGUAGGGAAUCUUCCGCAAUGGGCGAAAGCCUGACGGAGCAACGCCGCGUGAGUGAUGAAGGUCUUCGGAUCGUAAAACUCUGUUAUUAGGGAAGAACAUAUGUGUAAGUAACUGUGCACAUCUUGACGGUACCUAAUCAGAAAGCCACGGCUAACUACGUG
rnacentral:rRNA from 1 species